GCGGGCAUGAUGUAAUUGGUGUAGCAUGGCAGAAUUCAGCUCUGCCUGUACGGGUUCAAGUCCCGUUGCCCGCU
rnacentral:tRNA from 1 species